GUCGCGAUAGUUCAGGCGGUAGAACAACUGUCCGCUAAGCGGCAGGUCGCUGGUUCAAUUCCAGCUUGUGUCA
rnacentral:tRNA from 1 species